rnacentral:rRNA from 1 species
UACAGAGGUCCCAAGCGUUGUUCGGAUUCACUGGGCGUAAAGGGUGCGUAGGCGGUUGGAUAAGUCUGAUGUGAAAUCUUCGAGCUCAACUCGGAAACUGCAUCGGAAACUAUCCGGCUUGAGGGUUGGAGGGGAGACUGGAAUUCUCGGUGUAGCAGUGAAAUGCGUAGAUAUCGAGAGGAACACCAGUGGCGAAGGCGAGUCUCUGGACAACUCCUGACGCUGAGGCACGAAAGCUAGGGGAGCAAACAGG